rnacentral:rRNA from 1 species
GACGAACGCUGGCGGCGUGCUUAACACAUGCAAGUCGAACGGAAAGGCCCUGCUUUUGUGGGGUGCUCGAGUGGCGAACGGGUGAGUAACACGUGAGUAACCUGCCCUUGACUUUGGGAUAACUUCAGGAAACUGGGGCUAAUACCGGAUAGGAGCUCCUGCUGCAUGGUGGGGGUUGGAAAGUUUCGGCGGUUGGGGAUGGACUCGCGGCUUAUCAGCUUGUUGGUGGGGUAGUGGCUUACCAAGGCUUUGACGGGUAGCCGGCCUGAGAGGGUGACCGGCCACGUUGGGACUGAGAUACGGCCCAGACUCCUACGGGAGGCAGCAGUGGGGAAUAUUGCACAAUGGGCGGAAGCCUGAUGCAGCAACGCCGCGUGCGGGAUGACGGCCUUCGGGUGGUAAACCGCUUUCGCCUGUGACGAAGCGUGAGUGACGGUAAUGGGUAAAGAAGCACCGGCUAACUACGU